GGGGUGCUGCGGUACUUCGACGCAGCCGUGGCGGCCUCGCGGAUCGCGGUGCCGGUGCUGGUGGCGGCGGCGCUGUUCGACCCGGCGGUGCCGCC
rnacentral:tRNA from 1 species